rnacentral:lncRNA from 1 species
CGGCGCGUCCCGGUCACGUGACGCGAGAGCGCGCCCUUCGCGCGUCCCCCCACCCCUAUCCCCCUAGUUUUUUUUUUUUCCCUUUCCUCCUCGGUCCCGCCCUCUCGCUACCCUUUAUACCUUCCUCUCACGCUCCGCGUUGCACAGCCUUGGGGGCCUUUAAAAGGAACCGGAAGUGUCGUGAGCUAAGACAGUCGCGCGGGGACCAUCGAGAACAAGGAGUGCUGUUUCGAAGUAGCGGCUAGAGGGGCCCCCUGCCUCCGCCCCCGCCCUUCCGAGGAUUCCUGGAGUCCACUCACCCCUCCCCACCACUCCAGUAGCGGCGGGAGCAGCAGCGUUAGGCCGGGGUGUGGCUGCACCUCUGCGAAGGCUGUCGUGCCCCGUGCAGCUGCGGCGUUCGGGUGGGGGAGGGGAGGCUCACACCCUGCGGCGGCUUAAGCCUGGAUUUACGCACUGGAGGAGGGAAUUAGCCCUGAGAUGUCAGCCCUGUGCCCCUGGCGCUGUCCACCCGGACGCCCGCGGAGCGCCAGGCGCCGCAGCGGACCGCGCGCGCACUGAUUGCCGCAGCUACUCUCCCUGCCGUCGCCGCCCGGGACCGGGUGACAUUGAGGUUUUCGUCUAUCGCCGCUGGGCCGAUAGGGCUUCUUUUUAAGAUUUGGCUUUCCAAGUAAGAUUUUUGUUUGCCUGCUUUUCUCCUGGAAUUUUUUUGUUUUUGGUCGAAGAAGCAGGUAACUUGCAUAUCUUAAGGAAAACAUUGUUUUUGCUUUGCUUUUGUUGUUUAAAGAUCCUAAAACGUACCGUGAUUCCUUUACGUUACUAAUAAUUGGAAAGUGUGUUAAAUCAAGGGUUCGCUUAAUGUUCUUUAGCCUUUGUACAUAGAAUAUAUAAAUGUCGUGAGUCAUCUUUACGAGGUUUAUGAGUUUGUGUUCGGGUUUGGCUUUUUUGUUGUGUGUGCGUGGUUUUUUUUUUUCUUUUCUUGUAACACCGUUAGGCGUUUCAUUAAGGUGUAUAAAAAGUAAUUUUAUACACCUAUUAAAAAUUCCCGCUGCCUCGGCUGGAGACUGGAUUAUUCGGGCUUUGGGAUUUGCUGCUUCCAGCAGUAUCCUUAGAAGAAAAUGAAGCUUCUAGGUACUUCUGUAGUCAACAAAUAAUUAUUUGCCUGUUUAAUUAAAGUGUUCGGGCACGGGGGAAACAAAGACGAGUUUGCAGACUCCAGCAAAAAUCUUAAGAGUUUAAGUAUUUGGGCCGGGCGCGGUGGCUCACGCCUGUAAUCCCAGCACUUUGGGAGGCCGAGGCGGGCGGAUCACGAGGUCAGGAGAUCGAGACCAUCCUGGCCAACACGGUGAAAACCCCGUCUCUACUAAAAGUAGAAAAAAAAUUAGCUGGGCGUGAUGGCGGGCGCCUGUAGUCCCAGCUACUCGGGAGGCUGAGGCAGGAGAAUGGCGUGAACUCGGGAGGCAGAGCUUGCAGUGAGCCAAGAU